UUCAGUGAUGAAACCCGUCAACAAUGUUGUUGUCCCACUGAAAAGUCCAUUAAGGUGCUUUUAAAUACGAGCGCUCCGUCACAGGUGACGUCUGACACCCCCCACUCGCCAGACGUCACACAUGGGCUCCCGACACCGGGAUCUGCCCUCACGUGCGCGUUGUCUUACGUCACCCACGCGCUGCUGUGCUCGAGCUUUAUAAGUGGAACGGCUGGGCUAAUAAUCACGUGACCACCCCUUCCCCACCGCUGUUAUGGUGCGAAGCGAUGUCAAUCACUGGUUACAACCAGUCACGGAGGCGGACAAGCCGAGUGGGCGUUACCCCGCUGAGUUCGUCUCCCGCUCAAGCGCCGACCGCCUCCUCAGAGCGGAGAAAACCUCAAAGUAAAUGUCCGCUUUCUGAUUUAUUUCCAUUUCCCUCCGAGGGAAGUUGGGGCGUUUGUGAAGCGUCUCCCGCGGCCGGAGUCUGAUGUAUCGCUGAGAGAGAAUCGAGGACUGAGAGGUGAACACACUGAAAUGCACAACAUCAUUACCGGUUGAACCAGGGAUCUCAGUCUCUGAAACAGGGAUAGACUGUGCGGGACUGAAAUGAGGGGAAAUGUCUCCAUUCCGAGGGUGGUGAAUGUUUAUAAAUCCCCACCACAGAGUGCGGUGAAGACUCAGUGAUUGUCCGCACGUAAAACAGAUGUGUGGAGACCGAAGGGAUCGAGGAAAUGAGGAUCGGGCAGAAACACAUGGCUGAGAUGGGUGAGCAGCCGCCAUCUUGCUGAUGGUUAGAGGGGCUGAAUUGCCUCCUGCUGUUUCUCACUUGAUGUUUCAGUGUUCCUGUCCAGCAAGGCUCUGGAGGAAUGUGAAUAGAAAUUAGUGUUUAGAAACACAAAACUGAUUUAAAUGAAACGUGAACAUUUCCUUUUUGCGUCUGAAUUAUGUUUUGGACCUGGAUGGGAAUUGAGCCGGUGACUCUGUGACCUGGACGUGGAGGGAAAAGGAUCGGGGAAGAUAUGGUGUGGAAAAAUAAUCAUGUAUCUGGGGUAAAUAUGGAAUAAUGUGGGGAAUGCGGUGGAUGGGUCGGGCAGCAUGUGAGGGGCGAGGAGCAGAGUCAACAGUUCAGGAGGGAGUCCCUCCACCCGUCACCUGAUCCCGGUUCCUGUUCACAUAUUUCUGCAGAUCUGCAGCAUCUGCGGGUCACUGUUCUAUGUGUCCGUGUAGCUUCAUCUUUCCCCGUUCAGACAAGGCAGUGAGAUCCGGAUCUGUCACGUCCUCUCGUUGUGGGUGGACAAUGUCUUUUUUCUCUGCAAUAGUUUCUGCAUGUUUCAUUCACUGUUUUGAGGUGCUGAAGUGCUGCCGAUGUUUCUGGGUGUCUGACCCGUUUAUGUGAGAAUUUAGCCAUUUGUAUUUAUCUGAGCUUCUGAUAAAUGUGUAAAGUUUAGUUCAGCUUCACUUCAGAAUUUCCAAAGCAACACCCAGUCAGUCAAAUUGCUCCACACAAUUAAAAUAGCUUAUUACUUUUUUCUCUAUUUUUGUACUAUAUAUAUGUAUAUUCUUAUUUUAAAUCACAAUUUUUCAAAACUAUUGUUAUCAAUUAGGUUCUGCUGCUACCGCAGGGACAACAAAUUUCAUGACACAUGCCGGUGCUAUUAAACCUGAUUCUGAUAUUGAUAUGGGAGACCAACCACCGGUCACCUGAUCCCAGUUACCGCAGAUCGUAAUGUGAGAUUGAAGUAUUUUCCAUAUAUUUGCUUUCCACAGAAAUGACAACAGUUCAGUUUCCUUCUGUGGUUCCAGAGCAGAAGCUCAGUCUGUCUAAUAUUUCCACACAAUUAAAAUGGGAAAUUUGUUUAUUAUCAUCAUGUACUGAGCUACAGUGAAAAUCUUGCCUGAUGUACCAUCCAGACAGAUGGAUACAUUUCAACAGUACAUUGAGCUGAUAUACAUCAAAAUAAUCACUGUAACAAAGCAUUAUGGCUGCAGAGAAAGUGCGGUGCAGAUAGACAUAUGGUGCAGGGUCACGUCCAGUUACAUUGUGAGGUUGAGUCCAUUUUAUCAUUCAUUUGGCUUAUAACUGCAGACAGGAAGCCGUCCUUCAGCCUGGUGUUACGCACUUUAAGGCUUUUGUAUCUCUUCCCAAUGGGAGAGCAGGUUUGCAGCAAGAAUGUCUGUGGUUGUGAGGAUCUUUGAGUACAUGGCCUGUUUUUCCGAGGCAGGGGAAGUGUAGGAAGAGUCCAUGGAGGGGAGGCUUGUUUCUCUGAUGUUCUCUGCAGUUCCUUGCAGUCAUGGGCAGAGCAGUAGCCAGACGAAGGAGUGAAGUAUCGACAAGGAGCUCAGAGACCUCGGCCUUCACCCUGCCUUGUGUAGCUGGAUCCUGGACUUCCUGUCAGAUCGCCGGCAGGUGGUAAGUGGGCUCCAUCUUCUCUGUCUCUCUGACCCUCAGCACACAUAAGCCACAGGGUUGUCUCUUUGGCCUUCUCCUUUACUCUCUGUGCACCCAUGACUUGUGUUGCCACCCACAGCUCCAAUCUGCUAUUUAAAUUUGCUGACAGCACUACAUUGAUUGGCCUAAUCUGAAAUACUGAUAACAAUCAAUCAAAUGCCUUCUGACAAGGGUCGGUCCAAACAAACUUUUCACGCUUCUUCAGGAGAUUGGUCAGAGGAAGAGCGAUAGCAGCAAAGUUCUUACGAUAAUAUCCAUCCAUUCCCAGAAACCUUCUAAGAGCCUUCUCAGCAGUCAGAAUAGGAACAUGAGAAAUUGCCUGGACUUUUGCCCGAACAGGAGCCAACUUGCUUUGACCUACAACAUAGCCAAGACAGGUCACACUGGCAUGGCCAAAUUCUCUCUUAGCCAAGUUAACUGUAAGGUUGUCCUAGGAAAGCCUGUCAAACUGCUUUUCUACUGCAGAGAUAUGCUCUUCCCAAGUGUCCCUCCCUGUAACUAAGUCAUCAAUAUAGGUAUCUGUGUGUUCUCACCCUCGAAUUACAAAAUCAAUCAUUCUCUGGGAUGCUCCUGGAGCAUUUUUCCUUCCAAAAGGCAAAACAUUGUAUUCAUACAACCCAGAUGGUGUCACAAACACAGAAAUGUCUCUACCUCUGUCCGUCAAUGGAACACACCAAUACCCUUUCAACAGAUCAAUCUUUGUAAGAUAUUAGCUAUUCCAACCUUAUCGAUGCAAUCAUCCACCCUAGGGAUAGGAUAGGCGUCAGUUUUUGUUACUGCAUUUACCUUUCUACAAUCAGUGCAAAAUCUAACACUACCAUCAUGUUUGGGCACAAUAAUGCAGAGUGACUCCAAUCUCAUUUUGAAGGCCUAAUAAUACCAUUCUCCAGCAUAUACUCAAUUCCCUGGUCAGCCAAUUUACACUUUUCGACGUUCAUGCGAAGUGGGUGUUGUUUAAUCGGUUUGGCUUGACCAACAUCUACAUCAUGUACUGCGACCGUGGUUUGCUUGGGAACAUCGGGAAAUAAAUCUUUGUACUUCAGAAUUAAUUCCUUCAGCUGUUGUUGUUGCUUUGGCUGCAGAUGAGCCAACUCGUUAUCAAUGUUUUCUAGAACAACCGAGUUCAUUAGCCUAACUGGGACCAUGUUUGGCUUGUGAAAAGUCUCAGACGAGUCAAUUGUUUCAUUCUCAGGGUUACCAGAUUCAUUUGUUUUGACAACAAUACUCACAGAUGGUGCCUGCUUGUCAAAAAAGGCUUUAUCAUAUUUAUGUGCACCACCUGUGUUAGUUUACGUCAGUCGGGUGUUUUAAUAACAGAAUUCACAUUAUUAAUUUGAGAGACUAUCUCAUACGGUCUAUUGAAUUUCGCCUGAAGUGGAUUCGUCAACAUAAGGCAAGCACCUUAUCUCCCACCUGGUAUUUUCUUUCGCGAGCCCUGUUAUCAAACCAACACUUCAUUUUGUUUUGAGAAAUCUUUAAGUUUUGUCUCGCUAGACUACAGGCUUGGUGUAGUUUAUUUUUGAACUUCAAAACAUAGUCUAACGAGUUAACAUGUACAUCCCCAUCAAUCCACGGUUCCUUUUAACAAGGUCAAAGGUCACUCUGCGACCAAAUACAAGUUCAAAUGGAGUAAAGCCCAGUGAUUCCUGUACUGACUCUCUUUCUGUGGACAAAAUCAAAUGUAUUCCUUCAUCUGGACAAAAGCAAAAGUAUCCCUUCAUCCCAGUCUUUUCCAUUUUCAACACAAUAUGUCUUAAUCAUUGUUUUGAGGGUAGAAUGAAAUCUUUCUAAAGCCCCUUCUGGUUCCGGAUGGUAUGCAAAUGAUGCAAUCUGUUUUGCUCCCAAUUCAUAAACUACCUGCUUGAAUAAUGCAGAUAUACAAAUACAUCCUUGAUCAGACUGUAUUUCUUUAGACAAAUCGAAUAAAGUGAAAAUCUUGGUAAGAGCCUUCACCACAGUUUUAGCUUUAAUAUUUCUGAGAGGCAUUGCCUCUGGGAAUCUGGAUGUAGUACACAUAAUAGUUAGCAGAUACUGAUGGCCAGCUUUAGACUUUGGCAAUGGGCCAACACAAUCCACUAUAACUUUGGAAAAGGGUUCUCCGAAUGCAGGUACAGGCCACUGGGGUGAGCUCAUUAGGUUUACCCACAACUUGACAAGUGCCUUUUGGAAACUCUUAUUCAGGGUAAACAUAACUUCAUGAAUUAAAGCAAACUGAUCUGCUAAUCCAGCAGAUUCCUGCGGAGUGGCAGCAUCAUUUCCAUCUAAAUACGUCUUUAUGUCAUCAGGGACGCACCUUUGGAAUUCUUCAAUUAAAACCAAAUCUCUCAA